CGAUGCAAUCAUACCAGCACUAAAGCACCGGAUGCAAUUAGAACUCCGAAGCUAAGCGUGCUUGGGCGAGAGUAGUACUAGGAUGGGUGACCUCCUGGGAAGUCCUCGUGUUGUAUUCC
rnacentral:rRNA from 1 species